GACGAACGCUGGCGGCGUGCUUAACACAUGCAAGUCGAACGAUGAAGCCGGAGCUUGCUCUGGUGAAUUAGUGGCGAACGGGUGAGUAACACGUGAGUAACCUGCCCUUGACUCUGGGAUAACUGCGGGAAACUGUAGCUAAUACCGGAUACGACCCUCGGAGGCAUCUCCUGGGGGUGGAAAGAAUUUCGGUCAAGGAUGGACUCGCGGCCUAUCAGCUAGUUGGUGAGGGAAAGGCUCACCAAGGCGACGACGGGUAGCCGGCCUGAGAGGUGACCGGCCACACUGGGACUGAGACACGGCCCAGACUCCUACGGGAGGCAGCAGUGGGGAAUAUUGCACAAUGGGCGCAAGCCUGAUGCAGCAACGCCGCGUGAGGGAUGACGGCCUUCGGGUUGUAAACCUCUUUUAGCAGGGAAGAAGCGAAAGUGACGGUACCUGCAGAAAAAGCACCGGCUAACUACGUGCCAGCCGCCGCAGUAA
rnacentral:rRNA from 1 species